CGUGCAGUUUGCAGCAAGCUCUCGAAUCCGCCUGGUGAUUGGGGUGACCGCGAACCUGGCCUGAGACCCCGGAUACUUGAGUUUUCGGGGGUCUAACAUUUUGGGGGCUCGUCCGGGAUUUGCGACCACCCUUCACCUGAGUGGAUUCGAUCUUGGAGCACAUGGCACGGGAAAGGAGUUCUGCCAUGUGUCACGGGUUAGAAUGUGUUAUGUUGGAGUCCCCCGAGGCUGCUUUUCUGAACUCGAACCACUGCUGCAGCCCUUACAGCUGAGCCUGGCCCAUGUAGGUGAGUCUUUCCCUAUCCCCACUUGCCGGUCCCGUGGGUCCCUGCCAUUUGCCUAGCUGCCCGGCAUUCUUUGUGCUCUACACACAUGGUAUGCAGGGGGGCCGCAGGAGUCUUUCCCACCCCUGGAUUGGCCAAGGGUCUGGGGUUACCAGCAGCACCCCUACCCCAGGUCUCUCUGCCUUGAGCACAUAAAGCUCGAGCAUAUAAACUUAUAGUGGCCUGAUGCGGACAUCUAAACGGCCUUAAAGUUAUUAAGAACUAUAAAAGGGACUUUGACAAAAUUUUUAUGUUAACUAAAAAAUAAAAAAAAUGUAAAAGACUUAAGUAAUAAAGAAAAAAAAUUGUCUAAGAAUGUCUAAGAAAGUCAGAGAAAUAAAAUAAAAGGUUAAAGAGAGUUAAAGCAAAUGAUAAAAGUUAUAGAGGGUUAAAGCAAGUUGUUGGAGGUCAGAAAAAAAGAUUGUUACAGAAAGUUAUAGAGGGUUAAAGUAAGUUAUAAAAGGUCAGAGAAAAGUUGUCAAAGGUCAGAGAAAAGGUUGUUACAAGUUAAAAAAAAAUGUAAACUGUGCUAUGGUUUCUCAUGUCUAAAAUUUUAAUCAUAUUAAGCUGAUUUUGUUUUUAAAAAAAAAGUCCUGUUUAUUUCUCAAGUAAUUUAUGUAUACUUGUUUUAAAAUGUUCUGUUUCCUGGUUUAGCCAGCACAUGGCCAACUGGUCACAUGACUUGACUGGUCGCCAUUUUGCUAAAGUUAAAAAAAAAAAAAUACUUCCGCCAUCUUGACUAAAGGUGACCACAUGGAAAUUAGAGGUACCAUCUUAGAAACAAGUUUUUCAAUUAAGAUUUAAAAUGUUAAUGCUUCUAUAUAUUACAGAAAGACCUUAAGGGAAUUUAAAUUUCUUUUUAAAACCAGUUUUCAAAUGUUUGUUUUUAUUAAUAUUUGUACUUAAAGAGCUUCAAUUUAGAAUUAUUUUUAAGCAAAACCUGACAAUGUAAAGUUCUUGUUUUAUGAUGUUUUUAGAAGUUAAGUUUAAGAUGUUGGUAACACACACCUUUAAGCUUAGGGUGUUGAUGGCACACGACUUUAAGUUGAGGGCGUUGGUGGCAUACGCCUUUAAUCCCACCACUCGGGAGUAAGAGGCAGAUGGAUCUUUAUGAGUUCAAGGCCUGCCUGGUCCGGCAGAUCGAAUUCCAGGACAGGCUCCAAAGUCACAGAAAAACCCUGCCUCAGAAAGAAGUUAAGCUACUGUUUAAGAAAUAUAAGGUAGCUCUAUACAGUUUUAAGUUCAGCUGUGCUGUUUCAAACAUUUUACUAAGUUAAAACCAGUUACAGUCAGACUAAAUCAUUUACAGAAAUAAGACCUUACCUAGCCACCUGUAUGCUUAAUGUGUGCUUAAGGCAAGUAACUAAAACAGACAAACAGACCUCUAAUGCUUCAGAGAUCUUCAGAAUAUGGCAUUUAAAUUGUUAUCUUUAAAGUUUAUAAUGUCAGACAGACUGCCAGAUCCUGGACAGUGACCCAAAGUCUCCAAAGAAGAUUACGAGGCACCUCAGUUCCUGCACCUGGACCAGUGAGCGAGAUGCUCAGAUGUGAUACCUGCCGCCUGCCAGAACCUAGCCGAGACUGUGGACAAAGCUGCUGAACACUGGAAAAUUGAUUGUACCCCUUUGCCUAGACAAAACAAGGUCAGUCUUUUCCAUGUCCCUCUUCCACAGAGAGGAAAAAAACUCUCACAGUAUAGGCCUGGCGAAGAUUGCUGGUCUUUGAGACACCUGCCUCCAGCGGUAAUGGAGAAACUUGGGUAUGGACUGGCUUCUAACUGGCUUCUGUCACUUUUUAGUAGAUUCGGAUAAAGUAUACCCUUCUCAGAUCUCUGAAAUAUUACUGGUUGUCAGCUUGACAGCAUCGGGCAGUCAGAUCCACUAUAGACUAGUCAGUAUGUUAGCUAAUAAAAUAGUGACUAUCUACUGUUCAGGCACAAGUUCAAAGUUUUUAAGUUUAUUUUGGUUGUCAUCUAAGUACAAACUUAAAGGGCUUUUCAUCAGGCCAAAGGCACCUCUGUCCAAUCCAUACCUGGCACUCUGGACAGAAGAAAAAUGUACAUGCUUAUAGCCCAAAUCUGUAGUUUUUGCUAAGUAUGUUCCUGCUGUUUAAACAGAUAUCCAAAUAUCUGCUUUUUCUACACUGUGGGCUUCAGUAAAUAAGCUUUAACCUCUGUUCCUAGUUUAAAUAUGUCUUAAACAGGUUUCUGCUUCUGGCAGACAUCUGAGUAUCAGUUGCGGACUACAGGCUGUUCUAAGUAGACUGCGAGCCCUGGACUUGCUGUGGAUGUGAACCAGUCAGCUGAUGUGGACACCCCCUGUCUCUGCAACAGUGUCUGCUAACCAGAAGCCCCUGAUGAAUUCCCCAUUGCCUAAAUUCCUUUUUGCUUUUGACUAGCAUUUCAACCUUCUGGGGUCCCUAACUUCGUCCCAAAGUCAGCAGGAAGCAGUUUGGAAAAGAAUUUCGCCGUCCAUUUUCCCUGGUUAAAAUGCUAAGUCAAAAGGAACUCCCUUACAUGGGGAUGACAGUAUCUAUCACUCCCUGAUGGGGAUGCUAGAGAGACAGCAAUUCCAUGAUUGGAAUUUCCAAAAAGAAAAUGGGGGAAUGAAGGAACCGGCUUCCCUUUUGGCAGCCAUAACAGCCGAACAUGUGCUUGCCAUAUACCUGCCUUGGUCACUUAGAGGUCAGAUGCCUGUCUUGUGACAAGGAACCAAUCAGAAGUUAGCUGGUGGCGCUAUGCUUUACGACCCUGGGUGUGCUUUACGGACAAGCGCACAGCAAUGACGUAGAGAGCAUAGCAACCACCCUGGGAGGGCCUAUGAGCCAUAACAACCAGUUGACCAAUCAACACAGGGCAAGCCCUCCAAGCCUGGAGGCACACCAAUCAUGAGCCUGUGCGUAAGCCUGUGCGUACCCCUAGACACUCCCCUUACGCUGCCCUAUAAGAUCUUUGGGGAGACCUUAGGAGCCGUCUUUUUCUAGCCGUCAGCCAUGGCGGGUGGGUGAAAGACCCGAGC
ensembl:lncRNA